AGAGAACAGGCCAUUAUUCAACAGACAGAGGAGAAGACACGAGAAAACAGGCCAUUAUUCAACAGACAGGAGAAGACACGAGAGAACAGGCCAUUAUUCAACAGACAGGAGAAGACACGAGAGAACAGGCCAUUAUUCAACAGACAGAGGAGAAGACACGAGAAAACAGGCCAUUAUUCAACAGACAGGAGAAGACAUGAGAGAACAGGCCAUUAUUCAACAGACAGGAGAAGACAUGAGAGAACAGGCCAUUAUUCAACAGACAGAGGAGAAGACACGAGAAAACAGGCCAUUAUUCAACAGAAAGGAGAAGACACGAGAGAACAGGCCAUUAUUCAACAGACAGGAGAAGACACGAGAGAACAGGCCAUUAUUCAACAGACAGAGGAGAAGACACGAGAAAACAGGCCAUUAUUCAACAGAAAGGAGAAGACACGAGAGAACAGGCCAUUAUUCAACAGACAGGAGAAGAAACGAGAGAACAGGCCAUUAUUCAACAGACAGGAGAAGACAUGAGAGAACAGGCCAUUAUUCAACAGACAGGAGAAGACAUGAGAGAACAGGCCAUUAUUCAACAGACAGGAGAAGACACGAGAGAACAGGCUAUUAUUCAACAGACAGGAGAAGACACGAGAGAACAGGCCAUUAUUCAACAGAAAGGAGAAGACACGAGAGAACAGGCCAUUAUUCAACAGACAGGAGAAGACAUGAGAGAACAGGCCAUUAUUCAACAGACAGAGGAGAAGACACGAGAGAACAGGCCAUUAUUCAACAGAAAGGAGAAGACAUGAGAGAACAGGCCAUUAUUCAACAGACAGGAGAAGACAUGAGAGAACAGGCCAUUAUUCAACAGACAGAGGAGAAGACACGAGAGAACAGGCCAUUAUUCAACAGACAGGAGAAGACAUGAGAGAACAGGCCAUUAUUCAACAGACAGGAGAAGACAUGAGAGAACAGGCCAUUAUUCAACAGACAGGAGAAGACACGAGAGAACAGGCCAUUAUUCAACAGACAGGAGAAGACACGAGAGAACAGGCCAUUAUUCAACAGACAGGAGAAGACACGAGAGAACAGGCCAUUAUUCAACAGACAGGAGAAGACACGAGAGAACAGGCCAUUAUUCAACAGACAGGAGAAGACAUGAGAGAACAGGCCAUUAUUCAACAGACAGAGGAGAAGACACGAGAGAACAGGCCAUUAUUCAACAGACAGGAGAAGAAACGCGAGAACAGGCCAUUAUUCAACAGAAAGGAGAAGACAUGAGAGAACAGGCCAUUACUCAACAGACAGGAGAAGACACGAGAGAACAGGCCAUUAUUCAACAGACAGGAGAAGACAUGAGAGAACAGGCCAUUAUUCAACAGACAGGAGAAGACACGAGAGAACAGGCCAUUAUUCAACAGACAGGAGAAGACACGAGAGAACAGGCCAUUAUUCAACAGACAGGAGAAGACACGAGAGAACAGGCCAUUAUUCAACAGAAAGGAGAAGACACGAGAGAACAGGCCAUUAUUCAACAGACAGGAGAAGACACGAGAGAACAGGCCAUUAUUCAACAGAAAGGAGAAGACACGAGAGAACAGGCCAUUAUUCAACAGACAGGAGAAGACACGAGAGAACAGGCCAUUAUUCAACAGACAGGAGAAGACAUGAGAGAACAGGCCAUUAUUCAACAGAAAGGAGAAGACACGAGAGAACAGGCCAUUAUGCAAAAUCACGAAGGCUAUAAAAAAAUAGGUGUUCUGUGAGUCACUGGGUUUUGGUGCAGAAAUAGCCGUCUCAGGCGGAGAUGGUGUGAGAGUCCCGCUGGUCCACGACACUGGAAAGGGUAUCAGAACAGCUGUGUGAGAAUCAGAGCACAUGUGCACACACACAAAGUAAAUGCACACUGUACGACUGAAACUGCAUGCUAAUUACUGAGGCAGAUUUGACAUAUCACCUUUGCUGCUGGUUUAGUUGUUAUUUUGCUGAGGAUUUAACACCGACUAGAAUGUUCUCUCU